rnacentral:rRNA from 1 species
GACGAGCGCUGGCGGCGUGCCUAAUACAUGCAAGUAGAACGCUGAAGGAGGAGCUUGCUUCUCUGGAUGAGUUGCGAACGGGUGAGUAACGCGUAGGUAACCUGCCUGGUAGUGGGGGAUAACUAUUGGAAACGAUAGCUAAUACCGCAUAAUAGCAGUUGUUGCAUGAUAACUGUUUGAAAGGUGCAAUUGCACCGCUACCAGAUGGACCUGCGUUGUAUUAGCUAGUUGGUGGGGUAACGGCUCACCAAGGCGACGAUACAUAGCCGACCUGAGAGGGUGAUCGGCCACACUGGGACUGAGACACGGCCCAGACUCCUACGGGAGGCAGCAGUAGGGAAUCUUCGGCAAUGGACGGAAGUCUGACCGAGCAACGCCGCGUGAGUGAAGAAGGUUUUCGGAUCGUAAAGCUCUGUUGUAAGAGAAGAACGAGUGUGAGAGUGGAAAGUUCACACUGUGACGGUAUCUUACCAGAAAGGGACGGCUAACUACGUG